UUGUUUUACUUGGCGAACGGUUGUGAUUAUUUUCGAAAGCGGUUUUAAAGAUUGAAAGUUUUGAAAAGACGUAAAUAGAAAAUAUAAUUUCAGUGGAAAUUGAAAAAAAUAAGAAAAUCGUUAAGAUGUUGAUCUCCCACGAAUGUUGGUUUAUGGAUAGUUUAUGAUAAUAAUUUUAUACACUCCCAGGAAUGCGCAUUACGGUACAAUCCCAACAUUUGUUCUAUAUAUUUAUCAGUUAUCAUGCUAAAGAGGUAGCUGAACUUCUACCUAAUGGGUUACUUGCAGAUGAUCACAAUUCUAGAAUCAAAGUAACGGCAACAAAUAGAAAUGCAGUCAAGUACAUAAUGAAAGCACCUUAGAGAUCAAAUUUUUGGAUAGAGCCAUACAAUGAGACUCAAUAACAAGUUGUUCGAGUCCCAACCAAACACCAUACAAAAGUUCCUGUUUCAUCACUAAUUCGUAUGAGUAUUCAAACACCAUUAUGAAACAAUCAAUUAUUUACAGUUAUUACAAUAAGUCCAUUCAAAAGAACAUUAGACUGUGAUGAAACACAUAAAGGUUCUGCAAAACUUUAUUAACAUCUACAAAAUAUGAUAAUUUACCAAUGAAUAUAACUCUAGUUGCCUCCUUAAACAUUUGGAAAAUGUUAUUAACAUAAAGUAAAACUUGUUAGUAAUUAAAAUUUUUAAUUAAAAAUUUAACUAAAUAAAAGUAAUAUUAUUUUAUUUGAUAUUCAUAACUGCUAUUUAAAUGUAAGUAUAAAUAUUUCUUUAUAUUUAAUUUAUUAUUAACUUCCCAGGAGUGGCUACCACAUACAGUUUGCAUUAC
rnacentral:lncRNA from 1 species